AGAAGAUGCAUAUGCUGAUGGGGUUCCAGAUGGCCACCAUGCCCAUAUUAACAAGAAUUCCUCUUCACCUGCUCAGGCCACAAGCUGAUAUACACAAUAUAUGAGGCUAAGGAGCAAGCAAAGGGGAGGAAACAACUGGAAAUGGAUUUCUUUCCUCUUUUAACCAGAAACACUCUCAUCUGUCUACAGCUUCCCACUGAAGAAAUGGUACAUGAUAAGGAAAAUAUAACAUCACAGAUUAAUUACAGCAAAAGUACGGCUCUGUGCAGCUCUGUGCGUUAGGAGUCUCUGUUCAGAAAUGCCUCGAUCUGUGCUCCAAUCAAUUCUAGGCAACAAGUGAAAAGCUGUGGCCGUAAAAAUGUUGGUCAAAUCUGCAUGGUCCAAGUUGCUACAACGUAGUACUUGAUCUUGAGAAUGGCUAAGAAUCUCAUUAAAAAGCUGAUAACCCCAGCUUCCGUACAAA